rnacentral:lncRNA from 1 species
GAGGACUUGGCCCCUCAGCCACCUACAGCUCCAACAGCCCGGCCAGCCCCCUCAGCUCUGCCAGCCUCACCAGCCCCCUGAGCCCCUUUUCACUGGUGUCGGGCUCUCAGGGGUCCCCCACCAAGCCUGGCUCCAACGAGGAACCUGGCCCGCCUCGGCCUCCCCUCCCCAAAGCCUACGUCCCCCUGGAGUCUCCUCCAGCCGUCCCUCCACUCCCUAGCGAGAGCCGCUUCUGGCCCUACCCCAGCUCCCCUUCCUGGCACCGCAGUGGCGAGACAGCCAGG